CCUACGGGAGGCAGCAGUGAGGAAUAUUGGUCAAUGGACGCAAGUCUGAACCAGCCAUGCCGCGUGCAGGAAGACGGCUCUAUGAGUUGUACACUGCUUUUGUACGAGGGUAAACGCAGAUACGCGUAUCUGUCUGAAAGUAUCGUACGAAUAAGGAUCGGCUAACUCCGUGCCAGCAGCCGCGGUAAGACGGAGGAUUCAAGCGUUAUCCGGAUUUAUUGGGUUUAAAGGGAGCGUAGGCGGUCGGAUAAGUUAGAGGUGAAAUCCCGAGGCUCAACUUCGGAAUUGCCUCUGAUACUGUUCGGCUAGAGAGUAGUUGCGGUAGGCGGAAUGUAUGGUGUAGCGGUGAAAUGCUUAGAGAUCAUACAGAACACCGAUUGCGAAGGCAGCUUACCAAGCUACUUCUGACGUUGAGGCACGAAAGCGUGGGGAGCAAACAGGAUUAGAUACCCCGGUAGUC
rnacentral:rRNA from 1 species